ACUUGCUGACGAGUCCGAAAUACGACGAAACGCGUGUCCUGGAU
rnacentral:hammerhead_ribozyme from 1 species